UACGUAGGGCGCAAGCGUUGUCCGGAAUUAUUGGGCGUAAAGAGCUCGUAGGCGGCUUGUCACGUCGGAUGUGAAAGCCCGGGGCUUAACCCCGGGUCUGCAUUCGAUACGGGCAGGCUAGAGUGUGGUAGGGGAGAUCGGAAUUCCUGGUGUAGCGGUGAAAUGCGCAGAUAUCAGGAGGAACACCGAUGGCGAAGGCAGGUCUCUGGGCCACUACUGACGCUGAGAAGCGAAAGCAUGGGGAGCGAACAGG
rnacentral:rRNA from 1 species